UGGCGGACGGGUGAGUAAUGUCUGGGAAACUGCCCGAUGGAGGGGGAUAACUACUGGAAACGGUAGCUAAUACCGCAUAACGUCGCAAGACCAAAGAGGGGGACCUUAGGGCCUCUUGCCAUCGGAUGUGCCCAGAUGGGAUUAGCUAGUAGGUGGGGUAACGGCUCACCUAGGCGACGAUCCCUAGCUGGUCUGAGAGGAUGACCAGCCACACUGAAACUGAGACACGGUCCAG
rnacentral:rRNA from 1 species